rnacentral:rRNA from 1 species
GUGGGGAAUCUUGCGCAAUGGGCGAAAGCCUGACGCAGCCAUGCCGCGUGAAUGAUGAAGGUCUUAGGAUUGUAAAAUCCUUUCACCGGUGAAGAUAAUGACUGUAGCCGGAGAAGAAGCCCCGGCUAACUUCGUGCCAGCAGCCGCGGUAAUACGAAGGGGGCUAGCGUUGCUCGGAUUUACUGGGCGUAAAGGGCGCGUAGGCGGACAUUUAAGUCAGGGGUGAAAUCCCGGGGCUCAACCUCGGAACUGCCUUUGAUACUGGGUGUCUUGAGUAUGAGAGAGGUGUGUGGAACUCCGAGUGUAGAGGUGAAAUUCGUAGAUAUUCGGAAGAACACCAGUGGCGAAGGCGACACACUGGCUCAUUACUGACGCUGAGGCGCGAAAGCGUGGGGAGCAAACAGGAUUAGAAACCCUGGUAGUCC